rnacentral:rRNA from 1 species
UACGUAGGGUGCAAGCGUUGUCCGGAAUUACUGGGCGUAAAGAGCUCGUAGGCGGUGUGUCACGUCGGCCGUGAAAACCUGCAGCUUAACUGUGGGCGUGCGGUCGAUACGGGCAUCACUGGAGUUCGGCAGGGGAGACUGGAAUUCCUGGUGUAGCGGUGAAAUUCGUAGAUAUCGGGAGGAACACCGGUGGCGAAGGCGGCAGCCUGGGUUGACACUGACGCUGAGGCGCGAAAGCGUGGGGAGCAAACAGG